rnacentral:rRNA from 1 species
AACGAACGCUGGCGGCAGGCCUAACACAUGCAAGUCGAGCGGGGACUUCGGUCCUAGCGGCGGACGGGUGAGUAACGCGUGGGAACGUGCCCUUUGCUUCGGAAUAGCCCCUGGAAACGGGGAGUAAUACCGGAUGUGCUCGAGAGAGGAAAGAUUUUUCGGCAAAGGAUCGGCCCGCGUUGGAUUAGGUAGUUGGUGGGGUAAUGGCCUACCAAGCCGACGAUCCAUAGCUGGUUUGAGAGGAUGAUCAGCCACACUGGGACUGAGACACGGCCCAGACUCCUACGGGAGGCAGCAGUGGGGAAUCUUAGACAAUGGGCGCAAGCCUGAUCUAGCCA